rnacentral:misc_RNA from 1 species
AAAAAAAAAAAAAAAAAAAAAAAAAAAAAAAAAAAAAAAAUUUUUUUUUUUUUUUUUUUUUUUUUUUUUUUUUUUUUUUUU